rnacentral:miRNA from 14 species
CAGCAGCAGCAACAGCAGCAGCAGCAGCAACAGCAGCAGCAGCAGCAACAGCAGCAGCAGCAGCAACAGCAGCAAUAGCAGCAACAGCAGCAACAGCAGCAGCAGCAGCAGCAACAGCAGCAACAGCAACAGCAGCAACAGCAACAG